rnacentral:snoRNA from 1 species
CCAACACUUCGUAGGUCUUCCCUCAGGUGGGCUGGGAUUGGUUGCUGGUGCUGAGAGAAAACCCACACUACGUCCUGGCCCUGGGACUAUGCCAAUGGCUGCUGCCACUUAGUGUGGCAGAGAU